rnacentral:rRNA from 1 species
GAUGAACGCUGGCGGCGUGCCUAAUACAUGCAAGUCGAGCGAACAGACGAGGAGCUUGCUCCUCUGACGUUAGCGGCGGACGGGUGAGUAACACGUGGAUAACCUACCUAUUAGACUGGGAUAACUUCGGGAAACCGGAGCUAAUACCGGAUAAUAUAUUGAACCGCAUGGUUCAAUAGUGAAAGACGGUUUUGCUGUCACUUAGAGAUGGAUCCGCGCCGCAUUAGCUAGUUGGUAAGGUAACGGCUUACCAAGGCAACGAUGCGUAGCCGACCUGAGAGGGUGAUCGGCCACACUGGAACUGAGACACGGUCCAGACUCCUACGGGAGGCAGCAGUAGGGAAUCUUCCGCAAUGGGCGCAAGCCUGACGGAGCCACGCCGCGUGAGUGAUGAAGGUCUUCGGAUCGUAAAACUCUGUUAUUAGGGAAGAACAAAUGUGUAAGUAACUAUGCACGUCUUGACGGUACCUAAUCAGAAAGCCCCGGCUAACUACGUG